UACGGAAGGCAGCAGUGGGGAAUAUUGCACAAUGGGCGCAAGCCUGAUGCAGCCAUGCCGCGUGUAUGAAGAAGGCCUUCGGGUUGUAAAGUACUUUCAGUCGUGAGGAAGGUGUUAAGGUUAAUAACCUUAGCAAUUGACGUUAGCGACAGAAGAAGCACCGGCUAACUCCGUGCCAGCAGCCGCGGUAAUACGGAGGGUGCGAGCGUUAAUCGGAAUUACUGGGCGUAAAGGGCACGCAGGCGGUUAUAAGUUGGAUGUGAAUCCCCGGGCUUAACCUGGGAAUGGCAUUCAAGACUGGUUAGCUAGAGUCUUGUAGAGGGGGUAGGAAUUCCAUGUGUAGCGGUGAAAUGCGUAGAGAUGUGGAGGAAUACCGGUGGCGAAGGCGGCCCCUGGACAAGACUGACGCUCAUGUGCGAAAGCGUGGGGAGCAAACAGGGAUUAGAUACC
rnacentral:rRNA from 1 species